rnacentral:lncRNA from 1 species
AAGCCUCUCCAACAAUGGGCACUGAUUGUUCAUAUCCAUAAGGAUGUCCUGCCGCACCCUUACGAAGUGAACUCUUGAAAAGAUAUAUCCUCUGCAGUACUUCUCUGCGAUAUAGCCGUGGGAAACACUGGGCAAAGGAGAGACUCCCAGAGAGCAGAAUUGGAUAAGCCACGGUCACUGAACAAGGAAGUCACUGCAGCACCAGGAGGACACUCAGCCUUUCAAGGAACAAAUUGCAGAGCCCCGUUUGGUACAUGAACCCCCUCUUAGAUGCGCACAGAAAACUCUAGCUGGAGCUUUCUCCCUUUCACUGUUCAAGAAGAACGUAUUUAGAAAACAGAAAAUACUCUCUCAAGUGUGGCAUUGAGGAAGAUAGGAAGAAAGAGAAAUGGGAAGUGUGGCUGAAUCCUCCACUCUCGAGCCUGGGUGAGUGGAAUCAAAUUGUCCCCAAGGUGGUGUAGGCGAGAACCAGAAUCCUGAACCUAAGCCAAGCUCUUUCACCUGACAGUGAUGGUC